rnacentral:rRNA from 1 species
AUGAGUUUCUUAACCUGGAACCGUCGGGAGCUUGGGAACCACGGGGUAGUUCGAGAGCUUCGCAGUAUUGUGAAGCAAGAAGGUCUCGGUCUCUUUUUUGUUAUGGAGACAAAGAUCGCAACGGCUAGAGUGGAGAACCUCCGGAACUCUCUGGGUUUCGAGCGAAGCUUUGCAGUUAACAGUGUGGGUCUCAGUGGUGGGAUUGGUAUGUUCUGGUCCGAUGAUUUUGAGAUUGAGCCGAUGAAUUACAGUACCAGUCAUAUUGAUAUCAUGGUGCGAAGGAAAGGUGACGAUGCAAGGAAAUGGCGGGUGAUAGGUUUCUAUGGAGCUCCAAGGGCUAAAGAUAGACAUCAUAGUUGGAGGUUCAUGAGAACUAUGUGUGCAAUCCAGCAUGAGGUUUGGAUGUGUAUCGGUGAUUUUAAUGAAACUUUGUUGGGAGUGGAACAUUUUUCGUGA